GUUGGGUGAAACUGUGACCGAACAAGUGACUGAACUUUCUCAGUGUGAUGAAGACAUUGUUGAGUUGGAUUCAGACCUUUCUUUCCCAAAGUUGGUGGCUGAUGAUGUGAAAGAAAAAGUAGAGACAUCUGAUUCUAGUGCCUUGGAGGCUCCUGCAAGUGUCCCAGAUGAAAGCCCUAAGAUGGAAAUAAAACAUGAUCCUGAAUCAGAGUUGAUCGAAACUACUAAUGUAGAUGCUGAGCAAGUAACUGACCAAAAGGCUGACAAUGACGUGGAUGAGUUUUUUAUGUCCUUGGAUCAACAAUAUACCCAAGC
rnacentral:lncRNA from 1 species